CACACACACACACAUACACACUAGCUAACAGACACACACAUUUACUGACAAAGACACAGUCAGCGACAGACAUACAUACACACUCACUUACAAAACAUACACUCUCAUUGACACACACUCACUAACAGACAUCAAACAGACUCACUAACACACACACACUCAGUAAGACACACACAGUAACACACUCACUGACACUCACUAGCAGACACACACACUAACACACUAACACUCACU